UCUCUAAAAUAAAUAAAAUAAAAAGACAAGCCAAUUGAAAAUGUAAUUUUCCAAAAAUAUAUAUAUAUAAAUGUCCAAAUAAGCACAGGAAAUGCUCAACACCAUUAAUCACUAGGGAAAUACAAAUCAAAACCACCAGAUACCAGUUCACAACUAUUAGGAUGGCUAAAAUUAGACAGACAAUAACAAGCGUAGGUGAAGAAAAACUGUUCAUACAUUGACGGCGGGAUUACAAAAUGUUGCAGCCACCUUGGGAAACUGUUUGGCAGUUCCACAAAUACAUUAAACACAGUUGCCAUAUGACCAAGCUCCAUUCCCAGGAAUAUACCCAAGAGCACAGAAAACACAUGUCUAUACAAAAACAUGUACAAGAAUGUCCACAGGUGCAUUUGAAAGAGCCAAAAACUAGGAACAACCCAUCAACUAACGGAUAAACAAAAAUGGAAAACUGUUUGACCAGGAAAGGAGGGAGGACUGACGCAUGCUGCAGGAUAUGCCUUGACCGGCAUCACGCUGGGGAGAAGCAGCCGGGGAGCAGAGGGACACGUGGGCCAUGACUCCAUUUACAUGACACGUGAACAGGCAAAUCCACAGAAACAAAGUAAUCAGUGGUUACCAGAGGGCAGAGGGUGGAGGGAAUGGGAGGGACUGCUAGUGGGUUUCUUUUAGGGGUGAUGGAAAGGUUCUAGAAUUAUCCAAUUCAGAUGGCCACAAAACUGAAUAUUCACCCGCACACUUCACAAAGGAUGAGCUCUGUGCUCAAUGAAUUACAGCUCAAAAGCUGUUGUAAGUAAAACUACCCCAUAAAAACAAAUGGAUCAAGUCACUAAAAGGGCCUCACAACUUGCAACCAUUCUCAAAUACACUCUAAAAGUAGACUAAAUUAUUCCAAGUUUUAAAAAUAACCAACAAACAAAAAUCUGAUAUAAAUUUGUUUUCCACAAAUUACUAAAUUCAUUUUCCUAUUUAAACCUAAAGGGACUUUGUUUUCUUUUUGGCUACUUUCCAAUUUUUUUUAAGAAAAAAAUUGACAGAUAAUGGCCGGGCGCAGUAGCUCAUGCCUGUAAUCCCAGCACUUUGAGAGGCCGAGGCAGGCGGAUCACGAGGUCAGGAGUUCAAGACCAGCCUGGCCAACAUAGAGAAACUCUACUAAAAAUAUAAAAAAUUAUCCAAGUGUGGUGGUGUGCACCUGUAAUCCCAGCUACUCGGGGGACUGAGGCAGGAGAAUCGUGUGCACCUGGGAGGCAGAGGCUGCAGUGAGCUGAGAUCAAGCCACUGCACUCCAGCCCGGGUGACAGUGUGAGAUUCUGUCUCAAAAAAAAAAAAAAAACAAUUGACAGAUAAGUAUGUAUCAUGUACAACAUGAUGUCUAAAGUAUACAUACAUUGUGGAACAAUUAAAUUUAGCUAAUUAACAAAUGUAUUAGCCCACAUAACUCCUUUUUGUGAUGAGGAAUACUUAACAUUCACUCUUUUUAUUUCUCAAGAAUACAUCAGCAUUAACAAUAGUUACCUUACUGUAAAUACGGCCACUUUAGUUCUCACAGUCAUAGACAUACGUAAAUGACAUGAGAGAGAAACGGUCAAUCUUUUAUUGUGUUUUACUCGGAAAAUUAGUAUUUGCAUCAUGCUGUGAUCGUUAAGUCUUGCUUUGUCUAACAAAUUUCAGAAGACUUCAGAAUUUGGGAACCAUAUUAAACCACUGCCGUUGAAGUCUAUGAGAGGUAGGGCCACUCUUUUCAAGGAAAAUCUGAUUUACUGAGAAUAUUCCAGGCUAUUUCCCUCAUGCCAUGCUGAAAAAUGAGAACGUCUUUAUCCAAAAACAAAAGGCUGUCUGACUGAAUAUAUUAACCUUUCUCUCAAACAUAUUAAGCAAACUGAAUUACUCCUAGGCAAUUUUAUGCUCAAUUUCAUGCUUAGAAGUUCUUUUUGCAAAUAACUAUGUGAGCCAUGGUAGACUCUGAUUUACAGGCAAAUCAAAAGCGCUUUAUAACCACCAACGACAGGCCAGGGGCUCUGACACAAUCACCAACAUAGUCACUUUGGAAAAUUAAAAAUACACUCUCCCCAACUGAGCAAAAAUGGAUUCCAGCCCACCUCCGCACACUGCAGCCAGUGAGUUCUAUUUUUUAAACUCAAAUCCAACCAUGCUGUUUUGAAUCCUCACUGCCCUUAGUAAAGACCAAAAUGCUCAUCUUACUCCCUUUGCUUUCACACCCCAUUGCCCCAGCCUGUUCUUCUCCCAUGUCAAGUCCUCCCACCCUCUCUCCCCUUUGCAGGCUCCUCCCAUCCCCCAUCCCGGUCCAGGCCCAUCCCUCAUUUGCAUCUGAGCUCAAGGGUUCCUUGUUCAGGGAAGCCUUUUGACUCCCAGAGCCCUCAUCAAAUGGCAACGGAUGAACUCUUAACUGCCGAAGCCUUAGGACCCUGGGUGCGUGGGGCAGCGCCUUUACUCAUGGUGCCUUCUCAACUGCACCUGCAAAGUGAGGCUGGGACAUUCCCCCGGUCACUCCCUGCACGUCAGCAAAGCCUCUCUGGCCUCUCCCCCGUGGCAGAUCUAGACAUGCAACAACAAAUACAACUAUCUUUAAGUAUUUCAGAGUCAGUCAAACUAGCAAGAAGGCAGUGACAAGUAUUUCCCUUGCCUAUACAGAAACGAUCAUCACUCUGAGAGCUGGUAUCAAAAGGGGAAAAGCACAUCUCAAACUUUAGGAAAUGAUCCUUGAACCUAGCCCAUCAUAUUAGCAAAACAAAGCUGCUAAUGUUUCUCUCCCAAUAACUUGUUCCUGAAAUUCAUCUUCUAUUAACAUUUAUUAGAAACACACACAACCCUGAGAUUCCUGUUUCACUUUUUGUAAAGACAGGGUCUCGCUAUGUUGCCCAGGCUGGAGCACAGUGGCGCAAUCUUGGCCCACUGCAACCUCCUCCACCUCCCGGGUUCAAGUGAUUCUCCUGCCUCAGCCUCCUGAGUAGCUGAGAUUACAGGUAUGCACCACUGUGCCCAGCAAAUUUUUGUAUUUUUAGUAGCAACGGGGUUUCACCAUGUUGGCCACGCUGAUCUCCCAACUCCUGACCUCAGGUGAUCCACUCACCUCAGCCUCCCAAAGUGCUGGGAUUACAGGCGUGAGAUACUGUGCCCAGCAAUAAUUUUUUAAAUAAACAAAAGUAGGUUAGAAACGUACCUCCUACAUCAAAAAUCCACAUCUAAUUCUGCCAAAAAAAGGAAUGAAAUUCUGACAUAUGCUACAAUAUGGCUGAGCCUUUGAAACAUCAUGUGUAGUGAAAUAUGCCAGACACAAGUGGACAAACACUAUGUCAUUAUGUCCUUCCACCCACGUGAGGUCCCCACAAACACUGUGUCAUUCCACCCGCGUGAGGUCCCUACACUGUGUCACUCCACCCACGUGAGGUCCCUACACUGUGUCAUUCCACCUGCCUGAGGUCCCUACACUGUGUCACUCCACCCGCGUGAGGUCCCUACACUGUGUCAUUCCACCUGUGUGAGGUCCCUACACUGUGUCAUUCCACCCACGUCAGGUCCCUACAAACACUGUGUCAUUCCACCCGCGUGAGGUCCCUAUACUGUGUCAUUCCACCCACGUCAGGUCCCUACAAACACUGUGUCAUUCCACCCACGUGAGGUCCCUACACUGUGUAAUUCCACCCGCGUGAGGUCCCUACAAACACUGUCAUUCCACCCGUGUGAGAUCCCUACAAACACUGUGUCAUUCCACCCGCCUGAGGUCCCUACACUGUGUCAUCCCACCCGACUGAGGUCCCUACAAACACUGUGUCAUUCCACCCGCCUGAGGACCCUACAAACACUGUGUCAUUCCACCCGUGUGAGGUCCCUACAAACACUGUGUCAUUCCACCCGCCUGAGGUCCCUACACUGCGUCAUCCCACCUGAAUGAGGUCCCUACAAACACUGUGUCAUUCCACCCACCUGAGGUCCCUACAAACACUGUCACUCCACCCGCCUGAGGUCCCUACACUGUGUCAUUCCACCCACGUGAGGUCCCUACACUCUGUCAUUCCACCCACGUGAGGUCCCUACGAACACUGUGUCAUUCCACCGGCCUGAGGUCCCUAUAAACACUGUCAUUCCACCCGCGUGAGGUCCCUACACUGUGUCAUCCUACCCGCCUGAGGUCCACCCACGUGAGGUCCCUACACUGUCAUUCCACCCGCCUGAGGUCCCUACAAAGACUGUGUCAUUCCACCUGCCUGAGGUCCCUACAAACGCUGUGCCAUUCCACCCACGUGAGGUCCCUACACUGUCAUUCCACCCGCCUGAGGUCCCUACACUGUGUCAUUCCGCCCGCCUGAGGUCGCUACAAGCACUGUGUCAUUCCACCCACGUGAGAUCCCUACACUGUGUCAUUCCACCCGCCUGAGGUCCCUACACUGUCAUUCCAGCCGCCUGACGUCCCUACAAACACUGUGUCACUCCACCCGCCUGAGGUCCCUACACUGUGUCAUCCCGCUCGCCUGAGGUCCCUACAAACACUGUGUCAUUCCACCCGCCUGAGGUCCCUACAAACACUGUGUCAUUCCACCCGCCUGAGGUCCCUACACUGUGUCAUUCCAUCCGCCUGAGGUCCCUACAAACGCUGUGCCAUUCCACCCAUGUGAGGUCCCUACACUGUGUCAUUCCACCCGCCUGAGGUCCCUACACUGUGUCAUUCCACCCCCGUGAGGUCCCCACACUGUGUCAUUCCACCCGCGUGAGGUCCCUACAAACACUGUGUCAUUCCACCCGUGUGAGGUCCCUACAAACACUGUGUCAUUCCACCCGCCUGAGGUCCCUACAAACACUGUCAUUCCACCCGCGUGAGGUCCCUACACUGUGUCAUCCUACCCGCCUGAGGUCCCUACAAACACUGUGUCAUUCCACCUGCCUGAGGUCCCUACAAACACUGUCACUCCACCCGCGUUAGGUCCCUACAAACACUGUGUCAUUCCACCCACGUGAGAUCCCUACACUGUGUCAUUCCACCGGCCUGAGGUCCCUACAAACACUGUCAUUCCACCCGCCUGAGGUCCCUACAAACACUGUGUCACUCCACCCGUGUGAGGUCCCUAAAAACACUGUGUCAUUCCACCCAUGUGAGAUCCCUACAUUGUGUCAUUCCACCCGCCUGAGGUCCCUACAAACACUGUGUCAUUCCACCCGCCUGAGGUCCCUACAAACACUGUGUCAUUCCACCCACGUGAGAUCCCUACACCGUGUCAUUCCACCCGCCUGAGGUCCCUACAAACACUGUGUCAUUCCACCUGCCUGAGGUCCCUACAAACACUGUGUCAUUCCACCUGCCUGAGGUCCCUACAAACGCUGUGCCAUUCCACCCACGUGAGGUCCCUACACUGUGUCAUUCCAUCCGCCUGAGGUCCCUACAAACACUGACAUUCCACCCGCCUGAGGUCCCUACAAACACUGUGUCACUCCACCCGCCUGAGGUCCCUACAAACACUGUGUCAUCCCACCCGCCUGAGGUCCCUACACACUGUGUCAUUCCACCCACGUGAGGUCCCUACACUGUGUCAUUCCACCCGCCUGAGGUCCCUAUACUGUGUCAUUCCACCCACGUGAGGUCCCUACACUGUGUCAUUCCACCCGCCUGAGGUCCCUACACUGUCAUUCCACCCACAUGAGGUCCCUACACUGUGUCAUUCCACCCGCCUGAGGUCCCUACACUGUGUCAUUCCACCCACGUGAGGUCCCUACAAACACUGUCAUUCCACCCGCCUGAGGUCCCUACAAACACUGUGUCAUUCCACCCGCCUGAGGUCCCUACAAACACUGUGUCAUUCCAUCCGUGUGAGGUCCCUACAAACACUGUCAUUCCACCCGCCUGAGGUCCCUACAAACACUGUCAUUCCACCCGACUGAGGUCCCUACAAACACUGUCAUUCCACCCGACUGAGGUCCCUACACUGUGUCAUUCCACCUGCGUGAGGUCCCUACACUGUGUCAUCCCACCCGCCUGAGGUCCCUACACUGUGUCAUUCCACCUGCCUGAGGUCCCUACAAACACUGUGUCAUUCCACCCGCCUGAGGUCCCUACAAACACUGUGUCAUUCCACCCGCCUGAGGUCCCUACACUGUGUCAUUCCACCCACCUGAGGUCCCUACAAACGCUGUGUCAUUCCACCCGCCUGAGGUCCCUACACUGUGUCAUUCCACCCACGUGAGGUCCCUGCAAACACUGUGUCAUUCCACCCGUGUGAGGUCCCUACAAACACUGUGUCAUUCCACCCGCCUGAGGUCCCUACACUGUGUCAUUCCACCCACGUGAGGUCCCUACACUGUGUCAUUCCACCCACCUGAGGUCCCUACACUGUGUCAUUCCACCCACCUGAGGUCCCUACAAACGCUGUGUCAUUCCACCCGCCUGAGGUCCCUACAAACGUUGUGUCAUUCCACCUGCGUGAGGUCCCUACAAACACUGUCAUUCCACCCGCCUGAGGUCCCUACAAACACUGUCAUUCCACCCGACUGAGGUCCCUACAAACACUGUGUCAUUCCACCUGCGUGAGGUCCCUACACUGUGUCAUUCCACCCGCCUGAGGUCCCUACACUGUGUCAUUCCGCCUGCCUGAGGUCCCUACAAACACUAUGUCAUUCCACCUGCCUGAGGUCCCUACAAACACUGUGUCAUUCCACCCGCCUGAGGUCCCUACAAACGCUGUGUCAUUCCACCCGCCUGAGGUCCCUAGACUGGGCAAAUUCAGAGACAGAAAGUAGAAUGGUGGUCGCCAGGGGCCGGGGAAGGGGAGAAGGGGAGUUAUUGUUUAAUAGGACAAAGUUGUGUUGGUAAUGAGGAAGUUGUUUUGGGAACAGGUAGUGGUGAUAGCUACACAACACUGUAAGUGCAUUUACCACCACGCAACUGUACACUUAUGAACGGCUAAAAUGAUAAAUAUUAUGCCAUGUAUAUUUUACCACAAUUAAAAAAAAUUCCUAGACCUCAAAAAAAAAAAAAAAAUCCCAAUCUAUGCCAACCUGGGUGUCACAUUUCUCUCUGUAGGUCAAGUGAAACAUGGCCCAAACCACCCUAAGUUGCUGACAUAUAGAUGCGAACUCCACAGAGCCCGCCUCUGGGUGCUGUGUGUGCGCCUCCACCACAGCCUGUCCUGCGGGGAACACGGAGGUUAUCAGGGCGCGUGGCCAGAGAAAGGUUCCAUCUACUUUUUAAAUAACCCAGCAGCAGACAUUUAAUGGAUUUCUAUGGUUACUAUUUUACCUACGACAUAUUUGACUGUGAUCAGUACUUUAGGGCGUACACAGAAAGCCGUAUGCUGAUACCUUCAUAAUCCAAAUAGAUUACGCCUUUUACUACUGAAUUCUUUAAUGAACAGUAAGCAAAUUGAGAAUGGUUAAAGUAAAAACUUUCUCAUUCUCUCCAUUUUAAGAUCACUAUUACACACCUGAACUUAACCGGGGCUCUAUGGCAGAGGAGAUUAAUAAUUUUGGUUAAUACUACUUCAACGAUUAUCUAAUAUUUCAGAUGCCUUUAACAACAUCUAUCUGUUACCAUAAACGAAGUCAACAUCUAAGAAAUGUGACCUGUGACACUGAACAGAUCUCUAGGGUCUGACAAAGUUGCAGGGAGCUGGAGAAGCGCGGCCACGGCAGAGCUGCAAUUCCCCAUCGGCCUCUGUCUGAUAAAAGGCAACCCAUGGAUCUAUUUGGAUAAACACUCAAGAGCAGGGACAGGCUAUGAACCAAUUUCACAGACAGUGCCUCCAGUGAGGAAGGAGUGCGGGCAACGGAGUUGGGGAGUUAAAACGGAGAUGGACAGCCUCAACAUGACCGUAGCCUUCAUCUCUUCAAAAACCCAAAACAAGAUGGACCGUUGUUAAGUGUGGAGUAUGUGGGUGUUUAUUUAUUUUAUGCAAAUAAUACAUAAUUAUUUAUUCUAAAAGCAACCUAUCCCAAUGUGAGGUGGCAAACAACGGAGCCUCCCGUACACAGGUUACUGCAAAGGACGGGAGCAAAGCUGAGACGCAGCCUUCAAUGCCUACGAAAGCCAGGAACGUUUACAAACGCACUGGUACACGUAAGGCACGAAUCCCCCCUUUUCAAUCAUUAUUACUAGCUGAGUUUUUGUUUUGCUUUCUUUUAAAUCUAGUUAUGUACUAGAGCUUUUGUAAUGAAUACUCUUUUAGGGAUACUACUUCGCCAUUCUAGAUUCUGGAACAGAACUAUUGAAAUUAAAAAAAAAAAAUUUAAGGUAUUUUCAAACAUGACAAAAUGGCAGCCUAAAACCAUUAAAAUUCCAGAAAACCGGAGCACAACAGAAGGUGGGGUGCUAAGCAGUGCUGAGUCACUAUUAGGGGUGCACGGAGAGAAAAACCUUCCUCCUUCGAGUUGCUAGAACUCCCUCUUUACCUUUUCUUAAGGGCACUUUUCUCCUUAUACCUACAAACAAUGCAUUCUUGGUGUGGAACAUAAAAUAAUACAGAAAUGUGCAGAAUAAAAGCCAAAGUCUCUGUUCAGUGAGGCGUGACCACCCUUUCCCCACAGGCACCCCCGAUGUCACCCCUGGAUAUCUGCUUUCCAGAGCAGCAUUUACAACCACACUCAGCUUCGCCUGGGGUCACCGUUCUUCUGCAAAAGCUGCUGUUUUCACCCAAUGUGUCACAGACUGCUCUCCGAGGGGCCCAGAACACUCUUACUCCACAAAGUGUGUGUUCUAACACAUGUAACCGCCUCACUACUUUUAGGCAUUUAGUGUUUUCAACGUUGUAUCACUGCAGUGCACAUCUUUCUGAAAUGCUGGCCUAUUUCCUGUAGGAUUCCUACAAGUGGAACCUUGGGGUCCUAACCCUUGUGUUAAGUUUGAGAGAGAAAUGUCAAAUUACCCUCCAAAAAAUGAGUGUACAGACACUCCUUCCAGAAAUGACUAGGAAAAAUGGAACAUUAUUAUUGCUUUAAUUAGAAUGUCUUUGCUUAUUUGAGACAGGGUCCACUCUGUUCCCAGGCUGGAAUGCAGUGGUGUGAUCACAGCUCACAGCAGCCUUGACCUCCUGGGCUCAAGGGAUCCUCCUGCCUUGGCCUCCCAAAGUGCUGGGAUUACAGGUGUGAGGCCGGUCAUAUCUUUGCUCAUUAAUACCAUUUCUAUGAUGAUUAAUGUUAACUCUUUUACUCACCACCCACUUAAAACAAACCAGCCAUUAGAUGCGGUUAAACAUGCAGACCUAUUGUCUGUGUUUUUUUCACUCAAAUGUUGCUAAUUAUCAGCAAACCUGCUGCCCCUUUCAGGCAGGUAUGGUGACUCACCCAAGAAUUC
rnacentral:lncRNA from 1 species